CAUAAAAAAUUUUUAAAAAACCUGCAGCCCCUGACUGUGCCCAGGGAAGCAUGGAUUUCUCCACGUGCCUUGGCAACAACGUUCCCAUUGUUUUCAGCUCCCCCCAAAAGGGACACGCGCCCACGUGUUUUUAUAUGAGCAACGAGGCUUUGAGUCAUGAUUUCUAAACAGGCCGAGCACCGUCCUCAAAGCCCCUGCCAGCGGGUACCGCGAGCUUCCUUCCCACGCACCUGUCGCCAGCGCCCCCGCCCCCGAGGCCUGCAGAGCACUCCGUCCGUCUGUCCGUCCCUCCUUACGCCUUCAUCAGCAGGUUUCUGCAACUGGAAAUUAGCUUUGCCUCUCAAGCCCAAACAGCGUAAAGCCCGAGCCUCUCAGAAAAGACGAGGAGGAGGCUGCUGCUGUCCCCCAGACGCUCUUGGACAAGCCUCAAAACUCAGCCCCCCAAGAUCGCCUUCCUUUCCACCCCACGCGUGACACUAUCAGAGGGGCGAUCCUCCUCCCGUCCUCAGAAGCCGUCAUGCCGAGCCAUGAGGAUACAGGGUGAGGAUCGCUCCGGAGGACCCGGGCCCCGUUCCCUCCCACCUCGGAGUCUAGGAUGCCCUCGCCCCGGGUCAACAAAGGCAGUGCUGUUUGCUCAGGGGCGGGAGCAGCCUGGGAAGUUAAUCCAGCAGCUGGGACCUUAAAAGUAUCAUUUUCUCUCGUAUCGGAUGCUCUUUCAGCCGAAAGUAAUCCAUCUCUCCUCGAAGUGACAGGUGGCCAGAGCAGUCUCUUUCAGCAAGCCCACACAGGGCACAAGGAGCCCCCCGCACAGAAGGAAGGAAUCAGUCAAAUGCAACAGUUGGGACCUAAUUCCUUAGCAGCCAGACGGGAAUCAGAAAGGGAGGCUCAGGAAUUUUGAACACUCUCUUUCACGGCUUCCAGAAAACGUUAUCGCCGGUCACGUCUAUUGCUUUCGCUUGCGGGUGACAGAAAGCCCAAAAUAAACUCGCGAAGACGAAAGACAGAAAAGUCACCGCCACAGAACUGAAGAACGUGAGCGUCAGGCAUGGGCUGAUCCAGGGGUCAAACGACAUCACCACGGACAGGGACCUCUCUCGCUGUCUGGGUUCCGCCCCCUCUGUCUUGAUGCCUUUCUUACUUGGCUUCUUCCCUCGUGGCUGCAACAUGAGCGCCCGAAGCUUCCGGGCCUGUGUCUAGGUUUGAGUCCAGUGGGCGGGGGGACGGGGGGCAUCUCUGUCCUACAUCACAGCAGAGCUGUGAUGGCUUCUCCAACCAGACUCGCUUCGUCGGGAGACGGCCGCGAGCCAACCUUCCACUCCUGGAGAAGGCAGCGCGGCGGCUGGCUCAAGCCCGGGCCGUAUGCCCCCACCCGGUGCGUGGAAGGGACCAACAGAGGGACGGUUCACAAAUGCACCCACAGCUGUGGCCCGGGACCCAGGAAGCAGCAGGUGCAGGAGAGGAAACAGCCUCCAUCCUUUCUGAGCCGCGCUGUUUAACGAGCUCGGGCUGGGUGCACGGCUGUCCACGUGCCACAUCGCCUUUACCCUGUCACCACCACCGCCCUAUCGUACAGAUCCCCAAACUGAGCGCGGGCACAGCCCCAAAUCCUGGCCCACGCCGCACAGCUCGCGUGUGGCGAAGGCGGGAUCCGAAGCCGGGGCUCCAAGCCCGGGUCUCUCGGGGCUCCUGGAGACCCACCGCGGACACCCUCAGACGCCCCCCGUGGGACCCGCCACAGGGUCCGCCGUGCCCACCGCGUACUCCAGCCAUCACCGUUAUGCGGCAAUGCAUUUUUGACUUUCGGUUAAUGAGUUUCGUCUGGGUUUCCCGUCACUCGAAAUGGAACGUGACCUAUCGGAUUCGGCAGUGGCUGCACCGAAUCGCCGGGAACGGAGCCCCCCCCCCCCCCCCCCACAAAGAGCGAGCAGUCCUUCCUGGUAUCGCCACCCCUCCAGCUCUGGACACUUCAGCAGGGUCAAACUCAUCUUAAGAAGUGAGCAUUUAUUUUCCAAGGAAACCAGGCCCACCCCAACCCCGGGGCCUUCCCGCCGGUCACAGCACAGACUUUCCCCUCGCCUUCCUUCCUGUGCGGAGCCAGGAAGCUUCUUAUCUUAUCUGAACCAGAUGUGGCCCCUGCAGGAGCCGUUUUCGGACAGAAGUUUUCGAGGAACCCCCGACCUAGGGCCCCCGCGUAUCCAGGAGCUUCAAAGCACACCCAGGUGGCCGCGGGGAGCCAGGGAGAUCAAUACGGGAGCAAAGAGAUAAGCUUGCCGAUGCCUGGAGCCCCCAUUCAUCUCUGGCAACAUGGUUUAAACACCGUGCAACUGGGACCCAUCGGAGGAAAUACAUUGUAUCCACAUCUGGAGGGGAGGAAACAGCACAUAACUACCGCUGCCUGGAAGGUUUUGUUUGGUGUUAACGCUGGUCGUGAUCUGCUCAGAGCUCACGCAGGUGGGAAAACGCUUGUUUGGGAUAUUAAUUUGCACCGCUCUGUUCUGUCUCUUGCCCUUUCCAUUUCAAGUCCAUCACCCGGUUUUCUGCAGCUCCUUGCCUCGGGGAUUCUUUUGAAGGGCAGAAUGCAGACGUUGCCUGAUGUCACAGGAUAUUCCAGACUUUGUUAGAAACCUAAACUGUUUGAUGAGGUUAGGCUUGAUGUCCCCAGGGGGACAGGAAGAAAGGGCCUCAGAGGGUGACAGGAGGUUAGAAGCCAAUUUCUGCAGGGCUGGAAAUAGGGGAAGAGUCAUAGGUCCGGGAGCCGCACCCCAUUUGCUGGCCAUGUCCCGGGAAGGGGGCAGGACCCCAGGGUGGGGGCGGCUGCAGGGCAUCUCUGCAGGCUGAACCCUACAGGCUCCCAGCUGAGGCAGAGAACAGAAAGCCUGUGGACCCCUUCCACCCUCGAAACAGUCAAGGAGCUGGGGGUGAGGGUGAGGUGCCGUCAACAAGGAGGCCGCUUUCCCGCCAUCUUGGUGGCGAGCACCUCUGGUGGGACUUAAGUCAUUUUAGAACAGAACUAAAGGGCGCCCCUGGGUGGCUGGGUCCAGUGCAGUGGCCACGUCCAGUAUUUUUAAAGUCUAGAAUGUUCCUCGGGUUCUGUCUUGGCCCUUCUGCCUCGUCCUCUGCCACCUGUGAACCCUCCAGUGCAGGUAACUGCCACCCCUACGUCUUACGUACGGUAACGAGGAGAGAACGUUGUCCUAACGGAAAACAAACAAUUCAGGUAAAGGCCUCUGUUUCAGCCCUCAUCACGUGGCACAGCCCACACCGUACGUGUCUCCCUCGGCCGCUAAAACCUACAGGCAGCACGGGUGGAAAGCGGGGCCACGUUAUGAAAGAGGGUCCUUGGCGGGCACCCCUUCCUUGCCGGACACGGGACAUCGGCACAGAACAUCUCCCACGUCCUGUGAGACGCUGUGGCCUGGCACUGGUGGGUUUUGGAAGGCAUUAUUUACCGCUCUCCUUGUUCCCAGACGGCAUGAGGAGACACUUCUCCCACGUCUCCACGUGUUGUCUGAAGACAGUCGUGAUCGCUGGGUGACCUCUCCCUGCGUGUCUGUAGAGUAACCGGUUCUGGAAGAUACAGUCUCUCUCCGGGGCAGAGGGCAGAUUCGAUCGCUGUCCAGGGUAGUCACGAGACCUGCCCUCCAUGGCAGAGGUCGGCAGGUGUGCUUGUCAUGAAAGUUGGUCGUGAGUGAGCUCGGAUUCCUCGGCUGUGACACGAGCCCGCUGCACGUGCAGCACCCACCCAGGCCCCUCGCGUCUUCCCACGAGUGCCGCCUACUGGUUGUAACACAGUCUCUUGUCUCUGAUCCGGGACUCUCGUGUCUUCUCCAGCAUCCACGAAACUGUAGCAAACCAAACUGCCGGCUUGCAGACAAGGCAAAACCUCAGGCCUUCCAGGUUCUUGGCAACCGUAUGCUUAAUGUCAGCGGCCAUUGCUGGGAAGCGAGGCUCAGCCGUGACCUGCAGGGCUGGGCCCGUUCUUGGCCUCUGCCCUGGGGUUCGCAGAUCCCUCACCCAACACCUAUUAAAGCAACUCUUUCAA